GCAUAUCAAUAAGCGGAGGAAAAGAAACCAACAGGGAUUGCCUUAGUAACGGCGAGUGAAGCGGCAACAGCUCAAAUUUGAAAUCUGGCCCUCGGGUCCGAAUUGUAAUUUGUAGAGGAUGAUUUUGGUGCGGUAUCUUCCGAGUUCCUUGGAACAGGACGCCUUAGAGGGUGAGAGCCCCGUACGGUUGAAUGCCUAGCCUCUGUAAAUCUCCUUCGACGAGUCGAGUAGUUUGGGAAUGCUGCUCUAAAUGGGAGGUAAAUUUCUUCUAAAGCUAAAUAUUGGCCAGAGACCGAUAGCGCACAAGUAGAGUGAUCGAAAGAUGAAAAGCACUUUGAAAAGAGGGUUAAAUAGCACGUGAAAUUGUUGAAAGGGAAGGAUUUGUGACCAGACUUUUUCUGGGCGGAUCAUCCGGGGUUCUCUCCGGUGCACUUUGCCCAGUAAAGGCCAGCAUCGAUUUUCGGCGGCGGAUAAAAGCAGUGGGAAUGUGGCUCCCUACGGGGAGUGUUAUAGCCCAUUGUAUAAUACGCUGCUGGGGAUCGAGGUACGCGCUUCUGCAAGGAUGCUGGCGUAAUGGUUAUCAAUCACCCGUCUUGAAACACGGACCAAGGAGUCGAACAUUUAUGCGAGUGUUUGGGUGUUAAACCCUCACGCGUAAUGAAAGUGAACGGAGGUGAGAGCCCGUACGGGUGCAUCAUCGACCGAUCCUGAAGUUUUCGGAUGGAUUUGAGUAAGAGCAUAACUGUUCGGACCCGAAAGAUGGUGAACUAUGCGUGGAUAGGGUGAAGCCAGAGGAAACUCUGGUGGAGGCUCGCAGCGGUUCUGACGUGCAAAUCGAUCGUCAAAUCUGCGCAUGGGGGCGAAAGACUAAUCGAACCAUCUAGUAGCUGGUUACCGCCG
rnacentral:rRNA from 1 species